rnacentral:misc_RNA from 1 species
GAUGAAGAACGCAGUGAAAUGCGAUAAGUAAUGUGAAUUGCAGAAUUCAGUGAAUCAUCGGAUCUUUGAACGCACAUUGCGCCCGCCAGUAUUCUGGCGGGCAUGCCUGUCUGAGCGUCAUUUCAACCCUCAUGCCCCUAGGGCGUGGUGUUGGGGAUCGGCCAAAGCCCGCGAGGGACGGCCGGCCCCUAAAUCUAGUGGCGGACCCGUCGUGGCCUCCUCUGCGAAGUAGUGAUAUUCCGCAUCGGAGAGCGAUGAGCCCCUGCCGUUAAACCCCCAACUUUCCAAGGUUGACCUCAGAUCAGGUAGGAAUACCCGCUGAACUUAAGCAUAUCAAUAAGCGGAGGA